ACUGGAUGUUUGUUGUAGUUGCCGUUUCAAAGAUGCACAUGUUACAUUCCACACCUUACUUAAUUUGCAUUAUAAUUUAUACAUUCAAUAUAUGCAUUAUCAUAUUCGACGCCAGUAGCUACCAUCCGACUCUGUUUCUGGGUUUGAAUUUUAAAGCUUGCUUGUAUGCUCGCUUUGCUGAUUUUUUGUUGCCUGACAAUUCAAGGGUAAGGCCAAGCGUGUUGUAAGAUACAUAUUUCUC
rnacentral:lncRNA from 1 species